UUUCCGUAGGUGAACCUGCGGAAGGAUCAUUACAGUAGUCGCCCGGGUUGCCGCAAGGCCUCCCGGGUAACCUACCACCCUUUGUUUAUUACACUUUGUUGCUUUGGCAGGCCUGCCCUCGGGCUGCUGGUUCCGGCCGGCGAGCGCUUGCCAGAGGACCUAAACUCUGUUUGUCUAUACUGUCUGAGUACUAUAUAAUAGUUAAAACUUUCAACAACGGAUCUCUUGGUUCUG
rnacentral:misc_RNA from 1 species